AUUGAACGCUGGCGGCAUGCCUAACACAUGCAAGUCGAACGGCAGCAUGAUCUAGCUUGCUAGAUUGAUGGCGAGUGGCGGACGGGUGAGUAACGCGUAGGAAUAUACCUUAAAGAGGGGGAUAACUUGGGGAAACUCAAGCUAAUACCGCGUAAGUUCUGAGGAAGAAAGCUGGGGACCUUCGGGCCUGGCGCUUUAAGAAUAGCCUGCGUACGAUUAGCUAGUUGGUGAGGUAAGGGCUCACCAAGGCGACGAUCGUUAGCUGGUCUGAGAGGAUGGCCGGCCACACUGGGACUGAGACACGGCCCAGACUCCUACGGGAGGCAGCAGUGGGGAAUAUUGGACAAUGGGGGAAACCCUGAUCCAGCAAUGCCGCGUGUGUGAAGAAGGCCUGAGGGUUGUAAAGCACUUUCAGUGGGGAGGAGGGAUGACAGGUUAAGAGCUAGUUAUUUGGACGUUACCCACAGAAGAAGCACCGGCUAACUCCGUGCCAGCAGCCGCCGUAA
rnacentral:rRNA from 1 species